CACGCCCAGCUGCAGCGCCGCCUCCUCCUGCCGCAAAUUGGGUUGAGUGGCCUUACGUCCAUGGUCAUCAUCGAACCUCCAUGGUCAUCAGUCUUGUCACGGCGUCGAGGUCUGGUGGAUGACGGUUGUUGCCCUGCAGAGUUUCCAACCACGACAGUGAUGCAGCGUGCAGCAUGCAGCAUACAGCGAUGAGGCCGUGCCGCUAAAAUCCGAGCAUAUGACUUAGUGUUGACAAAGGGAUUCUUGAUGUUGUUCCUGUAUUGGAAAUCUGAUUUUACAAGUAAAGCUCAAGAUUGGGUUUUAGGUUUCUGUGGAGAUGUUGGAGCAUAAACUCCCCGUUUGUAUGUGGAAAGCAUAUCAUUAGACAAUGUUGUGUCACUAUUAAAUCCAGGAGCCCCCUUUCAGCAUCAACAAACACCAACCGGACUUGUAUCUCUUCUAAUUUUCAUUUUAUUGUUGUUGUCGUGGUUCUUCAUUCAGCGGAGACCUUUUGAGGCAAGCGCGAGUUUUGAUGCUGCAAUACCACACUUCACAAACCAUACUUUUCACGGGGAUUCUUCGAACAUGCUUGGCACAUUCAUCCAAGGAGGAUAUACAGAACUUCUACUCCAAACUGAUAAAACUUCAGAGCUGCAGCCCACUUCGAGAAGAUUGGAUUUUGAUUCCAUGAAUCCUGGAGGAUGCAAGGAGUAGGCAUAGCAGUAGUACCUUUUAUUAUUUCUUCUUGUAUUUAGUUGGUUCAGAACAUAAAUAUGUGUUCCAUUGAACUGGAUCAUGACAAUGAGGAUGUUGAUUUACCAA